GUAAAAGGUGAGUCAGUAGUGUGUAUGGCUACCGACCUUAAGGUUGUGGGUUCAAUUCCCGCCCUUCACA